rnacentral:rRNA from 1 species
GACGAACGCUGGCGGCGUGCUUAACACAUGCAAGUCGAACGGAAAGGCCUGUCCUUCCUUGUGUUGGACGGGUACUCGAGUGGCGAACGGGUGAGUAACACGUGAGUGAUCUGCCCCCAACUUGGGUACAAGCCUGGGAAACUGGGUCUAAUUCCCGCUAGGACUGCAGGGUGGUGCCUGUGGUGGAAAACGAUUUUCUAGUGGUUGGGGAUGAGCUCGCGGCCUAUCAGCUUGUGGGUGGGGUAAUGGCCUACGAAGGCGGCGACGGGUAGCCGGCCUGGGAGGGUGGACGGGAGACUGGGGACUGAGACACGGGCCCGACUCCUACGGGAGGCAGCAGUCGGGAAUAAUGCACGAUGGGCGGAAGACUGAUGGAGGGACGCCGCGUGAGGGAUGACGGGCUUCGGGUUGUAAACUCCUUUCGACAGCGAGGAAGCCGCCUGGAUGGAAGGGUGGUGACGGUAGUGGUAGAAGAAGCACCGGCUAACUACGUG